rnacentral:rRNA from 1 species
CUAAGUUUAAGCACCUAAACGGCGAAACUGCGAAUGGCUCAUUAAAUCAGUUAUCGUAUAUUUGAUAGUACCUACUACAUGGAUAACCGUGGUAAUUCUAGAGCUAAUACAUGCUUAAAAUCCCGACUUCGGAAGGGAUGUAUUUAUUAGAUUAAAAACCAAUGCCCUUCGGGGCUCACUGGUGAUUCAUAAUAACUUCUCGAAUCGCAUGGCCUUGUGCCGGCGAUGGUUCAUUCAAAUUUCUGCCCUAUCAACUUUCGACGGCUGGGUCUUGGCCAGCCGUGGUUACAACGGGUAACGGAGGGUUAGGGCUUGACCCCGGAGAAGGAGCCUGAGAAACGGCUACUACAUCCAAGGAAGGCAGCAGGCGCGCAAAUUACCCAAUCCCGAUACGGGGAGGUAGUGACAAUAAAUACUGAUACAGGGCUCUUUUGGGUCUUGUAAUUGGAAUGAGUACAAUUUAAAUCCCUUAACGAGGAACAAUUGGAGGGCAAGUCUGGUGCCAGCAGCCGCGGUAAUUCCAGCUCCAAUAGCGUAUAUUAAAGUUGUUGCAGUUAAAAAGCUCGUAGUUGAACCUUGGGCCUGGCUGGCCGGUCUGCCUCACCGCAUGCACUGGUCCGGCCGGGCCUUUCCCUCUGGGGAGCCGCAUGCCCUUCACUGGGUGUGUCGGGGAACCAGGACUUUUACUGUGAAAAAAUUAGAGUGUUCAAAGCAGGCCUAUGCUCGAAUACAUUAGCAUGGAAUAAUAGAAUAGGACGUUGCGGUUCUAUUUUGUUGGUUUCUAGGACCGCCGUAAUGAUUAAUAGGGACAGUCGGGGGCAUCAGUAUUCAAUCGUCAGAGGUGAAAUUCUUGGAUCGAUUGAAGACUAACUACUGCGAAAGCAUUUGCCAAGGAUGUUUUCAUUAAUCAGGAACGAAAGUUAGGGGAUCGAAAACGAUCAGAUACCGUUGUAGUCUUAACCAUAAACUAUGCCGACUAGGGAUCGGGCGAUGUUUUUCUUUGACUCGCUCGGCACCUUACACGAAAGUAAAGUUUUUGGGUUCUGGGGGGAGUAUGGUCG